rnacentral:rRNA from 1 species
GACGAACGCUGGCGGCGUGCUUAACACAUGCAAGUCGAGCGGUAAGGCCCUUUCGGGGGUACACGAGCGGCGAACGGGUGAGUAACACGUGGGUGACCUGCCCUCAGCUCUGGGAUAAGCCUGGGAAACUGGGUCUAAUACUGGAUAUGACUCCACGGUGCAUGUCGUGGGGUGGAAAGCCUUGUGCGGCUGAGGAUGGGCCCGCGGCCUAUCAGCUUGUUGGUGGGGUGAUGGCCUACCAAGGCGACGACGGGUAGCCGGCCUGAGAGGGCGACCGGCCACACUGGGACUGAGACACGGCCCAGACUCCUACGGGAGGCAGCAGUGGGGAAUAUUGCGCAAUGGGCGGAAGCCUGACGCAGCGACGCCGCGUGGGGA